UGCAUCAGUAGUGCGAGCUGACGAAUCUACUCAGUAUGGAUGCAACGUCGGAUAUUUCCUGAUGGGCAAUGACACGGCUAUAUGCAAUGGCAACAAUGGCAGUUUGAGUUUCAUGCAAAAGCCCACUUGUCAUUACUUCAACUGCCUUGUUCCUGGGAUACCGGAUGGCCGGCCGAGUUCCUCAGAAUUGAACGCUAAUGAAUCUGCUGUAUAUUCAUGCAACACCGGGUACUUCCUGUUGGGCAAUCCCUCGAUUACAUGUUAUGGCUUUGGUCGCUUGAGUACCAGUGAAACGCCGUCAUGCUAUCCUUCACCGCCGACCGAAUACCGUUACUGU